AGGAUAAACGCUGGCGGCGUGCCUAACACAUGCAAGUCGAGCGAGGCCCGUCCUUCGGGACGGUGCCCUAGCGGCGAACGGGUGAGUAACACGUGGGCAACCUGCCCCUAGCACUGGGAUAACUCCGGGAAACCGGGGCUAAUACCGGAUAUGACCUUUGAGGGCAUCCUCGAAGGUGUAAAGGACUCUGGCUAGGGAUGGGCCCGCGGCCUAUCAGCUUGUUGGUGGGGUAACGGCCUACCAAGGCGACGACGGGUA
rnacentral:rRNA from 1 species